UACGGGGGGGGCAAGCGUUGUUCGGAAUUACUGGGCGUAAAGGGCUCGUAGGUGGCCAACUAAGUCAGACGUGAAAUCCCUCGGCUUAACCGGGGAACUGCGUCUGAUACUGGAUGGCUUGAGUUCGGGAGAGGGAUGCGGAAUUCCAGGUGUAGCGGUGAAAUGCGUAGAUAUCUGGAGGAACACCGGUGGCGAAGGCGGUUCUCUGGGCAUUACCUGACGCUGAGGAGCGAAAGCAUGGGGAGCGAACAGG
rnacentral:rRNA from 1 species